UCUGGUUGAUCCUGCCAGUAGUCAUAUGCUUGUCUCAAAGAUUAAGCCAUGCAUGUCUAAGUAUAAGCAAUUUAUACAGUGAAACUGCGAAUGGCUCAUUAAAUCAGUUAUCGUUUAUUUGAUAGUUCCUUUACUACAUGGUAUAACUGUGGUAAUUCUAGAGCUAAUACAUGCUUAAAAUCUCGACCCUUUGGAAGAGAUGUAUUUAUUAGAUAAAAAAUCAAUGUCUUCGGACUCUUUGAUGAUUCAUAAUAACUUUUCGAAUCGCAUGACCUUGUGCUGGCGAUGGUUCAUUCAAAUUUCUGCCCUAUCAACUUUCGAUGGUAGGAUAGUGGCCUACCAUGGUUCCAACGGGUAACGGGGAAUAAGGGUUCGAUUCCGGAGAGGGAGCCUGAGAAACGGCUACCACAUCCAAGGAAGGCAGCAGGCGCGCAAAUUACCCAAUCCUAAUUCAGGGAGGUAGUGACAAUAAAUAACGAUACAGGGCCCAUUCGGGUCUUGUAAUUGGAAUGAGUACAAUGUAAAUACCUUAACGAGGAACAAUUGGAGGGCAAGUCUGGUA
rnacentral:rRNA from 1 species